rnacentral:rRNA from 1 species
UACAGAGGGUGCGAGCGUUAAUCGGAAUUACUGGGCGUAAAGCGCGCGUAGGCGGCUUUGCAAGUCGAGUGUGAAAUCCCCAGGCUUAACCUGGGAACUGCAUUCGAGGCUGCAUAGCUAGAGUAUGGGAGAGGGAAGUGGAAUUUCAGGUGUAGCGGUGAAAUGCGUAGAUAUCUGAAGGAACAUCAGUGGCGAAAGCGACUUCCUGGACCAAUACUGACGCUCAUGUGCGAAAGCGUGGGGAGCAGACAGG